GAUGAACGCUGGCGGCGUGCCUAAUACAUGCAAGUCGAGCGAACAGACGAGGAGCUUGCUCCUCUGACGUUAGCGGCGGGCGGGUGAGUAACACGUGGAUAACCUACCUAUAAGACUGGGAUAACUUCGGGAAACCGGAGCUAAUACCGGAUCAUAUAUUGAACCGCAUGGUUCAAUAGUGAAAGACGGCUUUGGUGUCUCUUAUAGAUGGAUCCGCGCCGCAUUAGCUAGUUGGUAAGGUAACGGCUUACCAAGGCAACGAUGCGUAGCCGACCUGAGAGGAUGAUCGGCCACACUGGAACUGAGACACGGUCCAGACUCCUACGGGAGGCAGCAGUGGGGAAUCUUCCGCAAUGGGCGAAAGCCUGACGGAGCAACGCCGCGUGAGUGAUGAAGGUCUUCGGAUCGUAAAACUCUGUUAUUAGGGAAGAACAAAUGUGUAAGUAACUAUGCACGUCUUGACGGUACCUAAUCAGAAAGCCACGGCUAACUACGUG
rnacentral:rRNA from 1 species